GACGAACGCUGGCGGCGUGCUUAACACAUGCAAGUCGAACGGAAAGGCCCUGCUUUUGUGGGGUGCUCGAGUGGCGAACGGGUGAGUAACACGUGAGUAACCUGCCCUUGACUUUGGGAUAACCUCAGGAAACUGGGGCUAAUACCGGAUAGGAGCUCCUGCUGCAUGGGGGGGGUUGGAAAGUUUCGGCGGUUGGGGAUGGACUCGCGGCUUAUCAGCUUGUUGGUGGGGUAGGGGCUUACCAAGGCUUUGACGGGUAGCCGGCCUGAGAGGGUGACCGGCCACAUUGGGCCUGAGAUACGGCCCAGACUCCUACGGGAGGCAGCAGUGGGGAAUAUUGCACAAUGGGCGGAAGCCUGAUGCAGCAACGCCGCGUGCGGGAUGACGGCCUUCGGGUUGUAAACCGCUUUCGCCUGUGACGAAGCGUGAGUGACGGUAAUGGGUAAAGAAGCACCGGCUAACUACGUG
rnacentral:rRNA from 1 species